UAAGCAUAUUCUUAUUUUUUAAAAUAUGCAUGUUUUAUCUUUUCUAUAGAAAUGUUAAGUCUAAUGUCUAAGAAUAGUAAAUAUUAAAAUUCAGUGUUGUAGUUGAAUAUCUUGUAUACUGACAUUUAAUCUUCAGUAACUAAAUGCAUUUUGAAGAUAUUUUAAGUUCAAUUUUAAGUAACUGGCAUUCAGAACAUGUUAAGUUUUAGCAGCUGAUAUAUUUCAGUUAAAAUAUUUGUUCUCAUAAGAUGAAAUACAAUGACCUGCGAAUCAGUAGUAAGGGUUCUUUAUAUUUUUAUUUUAAUAAAAAAGAAAACCUUUAUAUUGCUCCUGGAUAUUAAAGGUGAUUACAGCAAAUGUUACUUUAUAAGCACAAUUAAAGGCAUUUAUGCAGCUUUUGCAUAAUGAUAAUAAUUAAAAACCAUUUAUUUUAAAGGCUGCUUAAAAGUUAAUUUUCACCCAGGUGCAUAUUGAAGCCUAUAAUUAGCCUUUCUUCAGAGGAGUUUUGGUUGAGGAAACACAUAAAGGCAUUUCCAAAGGCAGAAGUUCACUGCUAAAAUGGGAUUUUGGUUUUUAACUUUAGUUUGAUAAUGGUGCUUAAAAUAUGUGAGAACAAAUGCUCCGAAAUACUUUAAAAAAUGAAUCUAUAAUCAUCCCAGAUUGAUUUCAUUGAGAAGACAUAUAGAAGACCUAUUUUCAUAUAAUUUGUUUGGUAAAUGAAGUCCCAUAAGACUGCUACCUGGAAACUUUUAUUAUUUACAACAAAUAUAAGAAAUUUUCAAAACAAUUACAAAGCAUAAUUUCCUAUGUAUCUCGUCAUUCUAGUGGGCUGGAAAUCAAUGCUAUUUCUAUAAUAAAUUCUCACUUAACAAUUCAUUCUUCCUCUACUAGUGAUGUCCUACUUACUAUCCAUUCACCAGAUGGUGCAUUUUCCGAAAGCUCUCUCAUAUUUCCAGACAGAAUCUCCAAGUAGAGCAGACCAUCUCAGUUUGGAAGCACUUACAUAUUUAUUUCACAUCAGAAGAUUGAUACCUCUGAUAUACCUCUACUGGAGUCUUUAUUUUUCUGUCUUGUUCUAUAACACUGAAGAGUAGAUCAUCCACCAAUUAUAAAAUUUAGCAAGUCCUGUUCUUAGGUCAAUCCAAUAAGCCUGAAGAAUAAAGAUCGGUUCUCUGCUUCAUUAGCAUGAGACAUCAUAA